rnacentral:lncRNA from 1 species
CUUUGACAUCUUUUCCAUGACAAAAACUGAGUUACUGAUGUGUCUUUAUGAAGAACGACAGGAAGAGAGAGGAGAAAAAUCAGAUAAAUGGGGUGAUGGAGGUAAAUACAGACAGAAAAUGAAAAUGUCUGAAACACCCACAUCAGUUUUAUAUUUAUUUUUCAAAAACAACUUGCAACCUUCUAAUAGGAACAAUCCACUCACUUUGUUAUACUUAAGUUUGCAAGAUAUCAUUCAGUUAUGGUACACAGUUUACUCCAGAAUCUGAGAGUGGAAGGAAGCAGCAUAAGCCAUGGAAUUCUGCUUCCCUCCUAACGCAGAAACUGCUCAUCUGGCAUUUGGCUUCAUGUUAGGAAGCUCACUACCUCCUAAGGCAGUCUGUCUGUCUGUCUGUUGUAGCAUUCCAGCUGUUCAUUUGGUCUCUUUUAUGAUGCUCAAAGCUCACUCAUUAACUUGCCCUGGUUGGUCCCAGCUCUGCUCUGGAAGAACAAUGAGGCCACGCUUCUAUGUGACACACUCAUAAUGGAGGAGGCUUUACCCCUCAGCCUCCCAGUCCUCAGAACUAUUUCCAUAUCACGAGGUUGGUUUGGGUUAUCACUGCCACUUCCAAAGCACAGUAGCUAGAAUAAGACUAUCUUAAAUCCCUAGGCUCCUCUUCUCAACCUUUGACAUGUUUUCUGGGUAAUUUUAUCCAUAGCCAAAGAUCAAACGAGCUGACAGCUCCACAAAUUUGUAUAUGCAGUGCUGAACCCUUCUGUUGUGUCUGAACAUCCAUCUGGUUCCAGGACAUCUACUUGGGUCUUCUCCAGAUACCUCACGUUCCAUAUGGCCCUGACUGGUUUUAGCACCUUCCUCGAGGAAAUUGCCAGGCACCCCUAUUCCACGGCCCUGUGAAUUGGCUCACCACCCACAAGGUUGCCCCAGAUAGACAUCUAAACCCUUCAUUCAUCCCAAUGUUGUCUAAAGACAUCCGCCAUGCUUCCUUCACUUUUCUUCUGCCCCAAAGAUCCUUCCUUAAUUCAGACCACGGCUGACUGUUUAUGAAGUGAAUGUGCUUGAUUUUGCUUAUCUGAGGCCGCUGUGAUGUUUGAAGAACUAAGUAUUCUUUCUGACAGCAUCCUGUCUGUCUUUGUUGGGUUUACUUCGUCUCUGCCUGUAUUCUUAAUCUCCAUCUUCCAAUCCUCCAAACUGCUUCCAAAGUUACCUUGAUAUCAUAAAUCUGUUCAUGUCUCUAACCCCAUCUAACAUUCUUCAAAGUCCAUCUGUGUCUGAAGCGUAGCUUCAGCUUCUGUGGUGGUGGCCACUUAAUAAUGACCCUUGUCAUUUGACCUUUGAAUGGCCUAAUGACCCUUGAUGCUAUUUGACCAUAUUUGUCAGGCAGCACACACUGCCCCUUAAUGAAUCUUACAAAGGUAGCAUGUUCUUGAGAACCCAAGAUUAAACAUCUAAAUAGCAGUACAUGAAUGAAGGUGUUAUUAUUAUUUAUGUUUGCCUUAUACAUUUAGGAAAGAACAGUAUUUAUUUCUUAUUUCUUGAUGAAUUGAGCAAUCUCUCAUUUAGGAUGUCUGCACUAAAUUAGUGCUUCUCAAGAUAUCUCUCUUCUGAAAUUGGGUUUUUAUUAUUAAAACAGAGUAGACAUUUUCCCUUUUGCUUUUCAGUAACAUUUAUAAAAAGCAAUGCUGAGGAAGAAGUACUUCUUAAUCAAGGAAUCUGCUGAAUUAAAAGAUGGUGAAAUAAUAAACAAAAAAUAUUCUAUCGUUUUUGUCAUUUUCCAAAUAAAUCUUUCUCAUCUCUCUUCUCUCUCCUUCUGUACCAUACUUCCUCAUUCCUUCCUCAACACUCACCACAUUUUUCUCCUACUUUCUGAUGAUGGUAGGCAGCAAUGCCUUUUCAGGGUCAUUGCUGCAGUCAUGGUUCAUGCUUAUAGUCAUCUGGUAACCCACGGCAUUUAGCAUUCAGCACAGUAUAAAUAUGCUCUUCAUUUUGUGUAAGUCUAUACAUGGCUGAGUGAUCUUUCACUCACUUUUUGGCAUUAGAAGAUCAACAAAGCAGAAAUAUGACUUCCCAAAACAUGUGUUUCAAAAUCAGAAAUCAGGAGUUCCCGUCGUGGCACAGUAGAAACGAAUCCAACAAGGAACCAUGAGGUUUUGGGUUUGAUCCCUGGCCUUGCUCAGUGGGUUAAGGAUCUGGCAUUGCCAUGAGCUGUGGUGUAGGUCUCAGAUGCGGCUCCGAUGCGGUGUUGCUGUGGCUGUAGCAUAGGCCAGCAGCUACAGCUCCGAUUUGACCCCUAGCC